rnacentral:rRNA from 1 species
GAUGAACGCUGGCGGCGUGCCUAAUACAUGCAAGUCGAGCGAACAGACGAGGAGCUUGCUCCUCUGACGUUAGCGGCGGACGGGUGAGUAACACGUGGAUAACCUACCUAUAAGACUGGGAUAACUUCGGGAAACCGGAGCUAAUACCGGAUAAUAUAUUGAACCGCAUGGUUCAAUAGUGAAAGACGGUUUUGCUGUCACUUAUAGAUGGAUCCGCGCCGCAUUAGCUAGUUGGUAAGGUAACGGCUUACCAAGGCAACGAUGCGUAGCCGACCUGGGAGGGGGAUCGGCCACACGGGAACGGAACAACGGUCCAGCUUCCAACGGGAGGCAGCGGUGGGGAAUCUUCCGCAUUGGGCGAAAGCCUGACGGAGCAACGCCGCGUGAGUGAUGAGGGUCUUCGGAUCGUAAAACUCUGUUAUUAGGGAAGAACAAAUGUGUAAGUAACCAUGCACGUCUUGACGGUACCAAAGCAGAAAGCCCCGGCUAACUCCGU